rnacentral:rRNA from 1 species
GUGAGCGGCAAGAGCUCAGAUUUGAAAUCGCAGCGCAUGCUGCCAGUUGGAAAUUGGCGGGGGGAAAAUCUGGCUAAGGCGGUGGCCAAAUCCCUUGGAACCGGGCGCCCCUGGAGGUGAAAACCCCCUGGGAAGGCCCCCUCUACCUUUUGGACUCCCCCCUGAACAAUCCAGUUGGUUGGGAAUGGCACUCUUAAUGGGGGGGAAAUUCCCUCCAAAGGUAAAUACUGGCGAAAAAACCAAUGCCAAAAAAUACUGGGAAAGAAAAAAGAAAAGCACUUUUAAAAAAAAAUGGAACCACCCGUGGAAUUUGUGAAAGGGAAGGGGAUUGGGCCCCAACUGGGAAUCCCGCACCGCUGCUCCUUGGGGGCGGGGCUUUGGGCUUUUCCUGGG